UGGAUCCAGACUUUGAUCUGGCUCAGGAUGAACGCUAGCUACAGGCUUAACACAUGCAAGUCGAGGGGAAACGAUAUUGGAAGCUUGCUUCCGAUAGGCGUCGACCGGCGCACGGGUGAGUAACGCGUAUCCAACCUGCCCAUCACUUGGGGAUAACCUUGCGAAAGUAAGACUAAUAUCCAAUGAUAUCUCUAGAAGACAUCUGAAGGAGAUUAAAGAUUUAUCGGUGAUGGAUGGGGAUGCGUCUGAUUAGCUUGUUGGCGGGGUAACGGCCCACCAAGGCGACGAUCAGUAGGGGUUCUGAGAGGAAGGUCCCCCACAUUGGAACUGAGACACGGUCCAAACUCCUACGGGAGGCAGCAGUGAGGAAUAUUGGUCAAUGGACGAGAGUCUGAACCAGCCAAGUAGCGUGCAGGAUGACGGCCCUAUGGGUUGUAAACUGCUUUUAUAAGGGAAUAAAGUGAGUCUCGUGAGACUUUUUGCAUGUACCUUAUGAAUAAGGACCGGCUAAUUCCGUGCCAGCAGCCGCGGUAAUACGGAA
rnacentral:rRNA from 1 species